UGGGGAAUAUUGCACAAUGGGCGCAAGCCUGAUGCAGCCAUGCCGCGUGUAUGAAGAAGGCCUUCGGGUUGUAAAGUACUUUCAGCGGGGAGGAAGGCGAUAAGGUUAAUAACCUUGUCGAUUGACGUUACCCGCAGAAGAAGCACCGGCUAACUCCGUGCCAGCAGCCGCGGUGAUACGGAGGGUGCAAGCGUUAAUCGGAAUUACUGGGCGUAAAGCGCACGCAGGCGGUCUGUCAAGUCGGAUGUGAAAUCCCCGGGCUCAACCUGGGAACUGCAUUCGAAACUGGCAGGCUAGAGUCUUGUAGAGGGGGGUAGAAUUCCAGGUGUAGCGGUGAAAUGCGUAGAGAUCUGGAGGAAUACCGGUGGCGAAGGCGGCCCCCUGGACAAAGACUGACGCUCAGGUGCGAAAGCGUGGGGAGCAAACA
rnacentral:rRNA from 1 species